UACAGAGGCCCCGAGCGUUAGUCGGAAUCACUGGGCUUAAAGGGUGCGUAGGCGGAUCGGUAAGUGCAAUGUGAAAGCCCCCGGCUCAACCGGGGAACCGCAGGGCAUACUGCCGAUCUUGAGGAAGCUAGAGGCCGGCGGAACGAUAGGUGGAGCGGUGGAAUGCGUAGAGAUCUAUCGGAACGCCAAUGGUGAAGACAGCCGGCUGGGGCUUUCCUGACGCUGAGGCACGAAAGCGUGGGGAGCAAAUAGG
rnacentral:rRNA from 1 species